UACGAAGGGGGCUAGCGUUGUUCGGAAUCACUGGGCGUAAAGCGCACGUAGGCGGAUCUUUAAGUCAGGGGUGAAAUCCCGAGGCUCAACCUCGGAACUGCCCUUGAUACUGGGGAUCUCGAGUCCGGGAGAGGUGAGUGGAACUGCGAGUGUAGAGGUGAAAUUCGUAGAUAUUCGCAAGAACACCAGUGGCGAAGGCGGACUCACUGGCCCGGAACUGACGCUGAGGUGCGAAAGCGUGGGGAGCAAACAGGG
rnacentral:rRNA from 1 species